UAAGAGUGUAGCCGUCAAACGCGCACGUGGAGAAAACAACAUAAACAAAGAGCAACGAUCAACAACAAUCAUCAACAAGCAACCAGAACAAGAACACGGUUAAGCGGUUAGAUUCGUCAUCGCGGUGAAUAAAAAGUGCCUGCUAUCAUUGGUGUACCGGAACCGAAGCCGAUCAAGGACAAUAUCCCGGAUUUGCUCAGUGAAAAGCUUCCAGACAACUGAUUGUGGGUAACACGUAGCAGCAUCGACCGAGCCAGCACUGACAAGAUUCAACCUCUGCUGAAGCAACGGUUGAUGCUAGCGUUGUGCUGAGAGAAGGAAGUAGAGCUCGAAAGAAUAUUUUAAGCUGCGCAAACCAGGUAGUAGGAACACAUACGGAACUGCUGCCCUGGUAUUCACCCAUCCGACGUUGGGAAUUGGAGGUGCAGGAAGAAAGCGACCCCUAGCGGGUGAGUAGCCAAAUUACUGUGCGAAAAAGGAGUUUAUGUAAAGCCAAAAUUAACAAUCGGCAGGUCGUUUUUGGGAGCUGAGAAAAUCGCUUUUCGGGACUCGAUUUUCGCCAUCUCGGUUUUGCGAGUCCCGUUUUUGCGAAAUCAAGCUGCGGACGUUGCGAGAGCCAGCCGGAAGUAGGCGGAAGUGCUCCGGGCAGCUGUGGCACGCCCGUCGAAGCAGUGCAGCCUGGCAGGGUUGCCAGUUCUACAGAUACGACUGUGAUAAGAAGAAAGGAAGCUGUGAUACCCCUGUGCCGUCCAAGCAGCUGUGAUAUGAUUGUUGUUAUUGUUUUGAUGUUAUGGUAGGAACGGGCCCGUGAGUAAUAAUGUAAGCUAGCUUAAGUUUUUAAAAUGUCGUGUGUAAGUAAAUAAUUAUAAUUGCUACAGAUUUGGGUUUUGCGUGUUUGUGUUUUGGGUAAAAGUUAGCCGAGCAG